GACGAACGCUGGCGGCGUGCCUAAUACAUGCAAGUAGAACGCACAGUUUAUACCGUAGCUUGCUACACCAUAGACUGUGAGUUGCGAACGGGUGAGUAACGCGUAGGUAACCUGCCUGGUAGCGGGGGAUAACUAUUGGAAACGAUAGCUAAUACCGCAUAAUAUUAAUUAUUGCAUGAUAAUUAAUUGAAAGGUGCAAUUGCACCACUACCAGAUGGACCUGCGUUGUAUUAGCUAGUAGGUGAGGUAACGGCUCACCUAGGCGGCGAUACAUAGCCGACCUGAGAGGGUGAUCGGCCACACUGGGACUGGGACACGGCCCAGACUCCUACGGGAGGGCGGAGGAGGGAAACUUCCGCAAUGGAAGAAAGUCUGACCGAGCAACGCCGCGUGAGGGAAGAAAGUUUUCGGAUCGUAAAGCUCUGUUGUAAGAGAAGAAAGGGUGUGAGAGUGGAAAGUUCACACUGUGACGGUAUCUUACCAGAAAGGGACGGCUAACUACGUG
rnacentral:rRNA from 1 species